GGCUGGAUGACCGUAGGGGACGCAAGUCCCGUGAGGAAAGUCCGGACUCCACAAAGCAAUGGUGCCGGGUAACGCCCGGCCGGGGUAACCCGAGGGAAAGCGCCACAGAGAACAGACCGCCCGCAGACAGGUCGACCGCAGUCGAUACCUCUGACGGGUAAGGGUGAAACGGUGGGGUAAGAGCCCACCGCAGCCCGGGCAACCGGGAUGGCACGGCAAGCCCCACCAGGAGCAAUGCCGAAUAGGGGUCUCGCGCGGGGAACCGCAGGGGUGGCUUUGCCCCAGAGACCCGGGUUGGCAGCUAGAGCGGUCCGGUAACGGCCCGCAUAGAUGAAUGGUCAUCCAAGGGGCGGCAACGUCCUUGGACAGAAUCCGGCUUAUAGGCCAUCC
rnacentral:RNase_P_RNA from 1 species